GCUGGGCGUGGUGGCGCACACCUGUAAUCUCAGCUACUCAGGAGGCUGAGGCAGGAGAAUAGCUUGAACCCAGGAGGUGGAGGUUGCAGUGAGCUGAGUGCCACUGCACUCCAGCCUGGGUGACACAGUGAGACUCUGUCUCCA
ensembl:misc_RNA Metazoa_SRP Metazoan signal recognition particle RNA